rnacentral:rRNA from 1 species
GAUGAACGCUAGCGGCAGGCUUAAUACAUGCAAGUCGAGGGGCAGCGCGGGUAGCAAUACCUGGCGGCGACCGGCAAACGGGUGCGGAACACGUACGCAACCUUCCUUUGAGCGGGGAAUAGCCCGGGGAAACCCGGAUUAAUACCCCAUAAUAUAUUGAAGAAGCAUUUCUUUAUUAUUAAAGAUUUAUCACUCAAAGAUGGGCGUGCGCCUGAUUAGGUAGUUGGCGGGGUAACGGCCCACCAAGCCUGCGAUCAGUAGCUGAUGUGAGAGCAUGAUCAGCCACACGGGCACUGAGACACGGGCCCGACUCCUACGGGAGGCAGCAGUAAGGAAUAUUGGUCAAUGGACGAAAGUCUGAACCAGCCAUGCCGCGUGGAGGAUGAAGGUCCUCUGGAUUGUAAACUUCUUUUAUUUGGGACGAAAAAAGUUUUUUCUAAAGCACUUGACGGUACCAGAUGAAUAAGCACCGGCUAACUCCGUGCCAGCCGCCGCCGUAA